rnacentral:rRNA from 1 species
UACAGAGGGUGCGAGCGUUAAUCGGAAUUACUGGGCGUAAAGAGCGCGCAGGCGGUCGUUCAAGUCGCGUGUGAAAGCCCCCGGCUCAACUGGGGAGGGUCACGCGAUACUGAUCGACUCGAAGGCAGGAGAGGGUAGUGGAAUUCCCGGUGUAGUGGUGAAAUGCGUAGAUAUCGGGAGGAACACCAGUGGCGAAGGCGACUACCUGGCCUGAUCUUGACGCUGAGGCGCGAAAGCUAGGGGAGCAAACGGG